rnacentral:rRNA from 1 species
AUUGAACGCUGGCGGCAGGCCUAACACAUGCAAGUCGAACGAGUGGCGGACGGGUGAGUAAGGUCUGGGCAACUGCCCGAGGGAGGGGGAUACAUACUGGAAACGGUAGCUAAUACCGCAUACAAUAGGAUAUGCACAGUUGGGAUUAGCUAGUAGGUGGGGUAAAGGCUCACCUAGGCGACGAUCCGUAGCUUGUCUGAGAGGAUGACCAGUCACACUGGAACUGAGACACGGUCCAGACUCCUACGGGAGGCAGCAGUGGGUAAUAUUGCACAAUGGGCGCAAGCCUGAUGCAGCCAUGCCGCGUGUAUGAAGAAGGUCUUCGGGUUGUAAAGUACUUUCAGUUGGGAGGCGUUACUCGCAGAAGAAGCACCGGCUAACUCCGUGCCAGCAGCCGCGGUAAUUC